AGCCAGAGGAAGAUAUUUUUGGUUUAACCUGCCCAAUGUAUUAUUGUAUGAAUGGCCGCGGUACCCUGACCGUGCUAAGGUAGCGUAAUCAGUUGGCUUUUAAAUGGAGUCAGGUAUGAAUGGGAUAACCGGGCUUAGCUGUCUCAAAGACAUUUAUUUGAAUUUACUGUUCAAGUGAAAAAGCUUGACGUAAGAAAAGGGACGAGAAGACCCUUAGAAUUUUGUUUAAAGAGGAUUAUCUCCUCUAUGAUUUUGUUGGGGCGACAGAGAAAUAAUUAAAACUUUCUUUAAACUAAUCAGUCGGAAUUUUCAGGUUAGGAUAAAUUACCUGAGGGAUAACAGCAUAAUUUUAUAAAUAAGUUUGUGACCUCGAUGUUGGACUAGGAAGCUAAUGGGUUAGCUGCUCAUUGUGCGGAUUCUGUUCGAAUUUUAACUCCUA
rnacentral:rRNA from 1 species